rnacentral:rRNA from 1 species
UGGGGAAUAUUGCACAAUGGGCGCAAGCCUGAUGCAGCCAUGCCGCGUGUAUGAAGAAGGCCUUCGGGUUGUAAAGUACUUUCAGCGGGGAGGAAGGCGAUAAGGUUAAUAACCUUGUCGAUUGACGUUACCCGCAGAAGAAGCACCGGCUAACUCCGUGCCAGCAGCCGCGGUAAUACGGAGGGUGCAAGCGUUAAUUGGAAUUACUGGGCGUAAAGCGCACGCAGGCGGUCUGUCAAGUCGGAUGUGAAAUCCCCGGGCUCAACCUGGGAACUGCAUUCGAAACUGGCAGGCUAGAGUCUUGUAGAGGGGGGUAGAAUUCCAGGUGUAGCGGUGAAAUGCGUAGAGAUCUGGAGGAAUACCGGUGGCGAAGGCGGCCCCCUGGACAAAGACUGACGCUCAGGUGCGAAAGCGUGGGGAGCAAACA